GACGAACGCUGGCGGCGUGCUUAACACAUGCAAGUCGAACGGAAAGGCCCUGCUCUUGUGGGGUGCUCGAGUGGCGAACGGGUGUGUAACACGUGAGUAACCUGCCCUUGACUUUGGGAUAACUUCAGGAAACUGGGGCUAAUACCGGAUAUGAGCUCCUGCUCCAUGGUGUGGGUUGGAAAGUUUCGGCGGUUGGGGAUGGACUCGCGGCUUAUCAGCUUGUUGGUGGAGUAGUGGCUUACCAAGGCUUUGACGGGUAGCCGGCCUGAGAGGUUGGCCGGCCACAUUGGGACUGAGAUACGGCCCAGACUCCAACGGGAGGCAGCAGUGGGGAAUAUUGCACAAUGGCCGGAAGCCUGAUGCAGCAACGCCGCGUGCGGGAUGACGGCCUUCGAGUUGUAAACCGCUUUCGCCUGUGACGAAGCGUGAGUGACGGUAAUGGGUAAAGAAGCACCGGCUAACUACGUG
rnacentral:rRNA from 1 species